UUUUUUUUGGGGGGGGGCCAUCUGGUGCCAGCAGCCGCGGUAAUUCCAGCUCCAAUAGCGUAUAUUAAAGUUGUUGCAGUUAAAAAGCUCGUAGUUGAAUUUCGGGGUCAGUAGAUUGGUCGUGCCACUGGUAUGUACUGGUCUUACUGGCUCCUCCUUCCUGAUGAACCGUAAUGCCAUUAAUUUGGUGUUGCGGGGAAACUGGACUGUUACUUUGAAAAAAUUAGAGUGUUUAAAGCAGGCUAACGCUUGAAUACAUUAGCAUGGAAUAAUGAAAUAGGACGUUCGAUCUUAUUUUGUUGGUUUCUAGGAUUGACGUAAUGAUUAAUAGGGAUAGUUGGGGGCAUUAGUAUUCAAUUGUCAGAGGUGAAAUUCUUGGAUUUAUUGAAGACUAACUACUGCGAAAGCAUUUGCCAAGGAUGUUUUCAUUAAUCAAGAACGAAAGUUAGGGGAUCGAAGACGAUCAGAUACCGUCGUAGUCUUAACCAUAAACUAUGCCGACUAGGGAUCGGAUGAGUAGUAC
rnacentral:rRNA from 1 species